GAUGCACGCUGGCGGCGUGCCUAAUACAUGCAAGUCGAGCGAACAGACGAGGAGCUUGCUCCUCUGACGUUAGCGGCGGACGGGUGAGUAACACGUGGAUAACCUACCUAUAAGACUGGGAAAACUUCGGGAAACCGGCGCUAAUACCGGAUAAUAUAUUGAACCGCAUGGUUGAAUAGUGAGAGACGGUUUUGCUGUCACUUAUAGAUGGAUCCCGGCCGCAUUAGCUAGUUGGUAAGGUAACGGCUUACCAAGGCAACGAUGCGUAGCCGACCUGAUAGGGUGAUCGCCCACCCGGGAACUUGGACAGGGUCCAUGCUCCUACGGGAGGCAGCAGUCGGGAAUCUUCCGCAAUGGGCGAAAGCCUUGCGGAGCGACGCCGCGUGAGUGAUGAAGGUCUUCGGAUCGUAAAACUCUGUUAUUAGGGAAGAACAAAUGUGUAAGGAACUAUGCACUUCUUGACGGUACCUAAUCAGAAAGCCACGGCUAACUACGUG
rnacentral:rRNA from 1 species